rnacentral:rRNA from 1 species
UACAGAGGUCUCAAGCGUUGUUCGGAUUCAUUGGGCGUAAAGGGUGCGUAGGUGGUGAUGCAAGUCUGGUGUGAAAUCUCGGAGCUCAACUCCGAAAUUGCACCGGAUACUGCGUGACUCGAGGACUGUAGAGGAGAUCGGAAUUAACGGUGUAGCAGUGAAAUGCGUAGAUAUCGUGAGGAAGACCAGUUGCGAAGGCGGAUCUCUGGGCAGUUCCUGACACUGAGGCACGAAGGCCAGGGGAGCAAACGGG